GCGUCAGUCGCAAGAUGAAGCGUUGAAUUGAAGCCCGAGUAAACGGCGGCCGUAACUAUAACGGUCCUAAGGUAGCGAAAUUCCUUGUCGGUUAAAUACCGACCUGCAUGAAUGGCGUAACGAGAUGAGAGCUGUCUCAACCAGAGAUUCAGUGAAAUUGUAGUGGAGGUGAAAAUUCCUCCUACCCGCGGCAAGACGGAAAGACCCCGUGGACCUUUACUGCAACUUAGCACUG
rnacentral:rRNA from 1 species